GCAAACUUGGUCAUUUAGAGGAAGUAAAAGUCGUAACAAGGUUUCCGUAGGUGAACCUGCGGAAGGAUCAUUAAAAAUCUAACUGUUUAAAUAUUGAAAAAUAUUUGAACUAUUCAACCUUUGAUUCAUAUGAGUUGAGUGAAUCAAAAAACCUUUUAAACCUGUCUUGAAAUUCUGAAUUUUAAUUUUUUAAAUGAAAAUUAUAAAACUUUCAACAACGGAUCUCUUGGUUCUCGCAUCGAUGAAGAACGCAGC
rnacentral:misc_RNA from 1 species